ACCCAAGGGCCACAAGCCGCCCAAGGAGCACGGGCCCAAGCCGGAGAAGCCGCCCAAGGGGAACAAGCCUCCCACCUACACCCCGUCGCCGAAGCCGACGCCGCCGACGCCCAAGCCGACUCCUCCGACGUACACACCGUCGCCGAAGCCGACGCCACCGACGCCGAAGCCUACUCCACCCACGUACACGCCGACGCCGAAGCCCACCCCACCGACGUACACUCCCACGCCAAAACCCACUCCUCCGACGUACACCCCGUCACCCAAGCCACCGGUGACCAAGCCGCCGACCUACACCCCGACUCCCAAGCCCACCCCGCCAACCUACACCCCGUCACCCAAGCCGAAGCCGCCGACCAAGCCACCAACCUACACUCCCACGCCAAAACCCACUCCUCCGACGUACACCCCGUCACCCAAGCCACCGGCGACCAAGCCGCCGACCUACAUCCCGACUCCCAAGCCCACCCCGCCAACCUACACCCCGUCACCCAAGCCGAAGCCGCCGACCAAGCCGCCAACCUACACGCCGUCCCCCAAGCCCACUCCCCCGGCGCCGAAGCCGAAGCCCACUCCCCCGACCUACACCCCGGCGCCGAAGCCGAAGCCCACUCCUCCGACCCCCACCCCAACCCCCAAGCCAACUCCUCCGACCUACACGCCGACCCCCAAGCCAACUCCCACUCCCAGCCCCAAGCCCACGCCACCGACCUAUAAGCCGGCUCCCAAGCCCACGCCGCCGUCGUACAACAAGCCGCCGGCGUCGUCCUACACCCCCAGCCCGCCGCCGCCUUACUACAACUGAAAUCC
rnacentral:lncRNA from 1 species